UACAGAGACUGCAAGCGUUAUUCGGAUUCACUGGGCGUAAAGGGUGCGCAGGCGGCCGUGUGUGUAAGGUGUGAAAUCCCGGGGCUUAACCCCGGAACUGCGCCUUAAACUACAUGGCUAGAGUAUCGGAGAGGGUAGUGGAAUUCACGGUGUAGCAGUGAAAUGCGUAGAUAUCGUGAGGAACACCAGAGGCGAAGGCGACUACCUGGACGAUUACUGACGCUCAGGCACGAAAGCGUGGGGAGCAAAAGGGAUUAGAUACCCCUGUAGUCCACGCCCUAAACGGUGCAUACUAGGUCUUGGCGGAUUCGACCCCGCCAGGGCCCAAGCUAACGCGUUAAGUAUGCCGCCUGAGGACUACGGCCGCAAGGCUAAA
rnacentral:rRNA from 1 species